rnacentral:SRP_RNA from 13 species
GCCUGGCGUGGUGGCUCGUGCCUGUAGUCCCAGCUACUCAGGAUGCUGAGGUGGGAGGAUCGCUUGAGCCCAGGAGUUCUGGGCUGUAGUGUGCUAUGCUAACCGGGUGUCCACACUAAGUUUGGCAUCAAUAUGGUGACCUCCCGGGGUCGGGUGACCACCAGGUUGCCUAAGGAGGGGUGAACCGGCCCAGGUUGGAAACAGAGCAGGUCAAAACUCCCGCACUGAUCAGUAGUGGGAUCACGCCUGUGAAUAGCCACUGUACUCCAGCCUGGGCAACAUAGCGAGACCCUGUCUCAA